GAGGUUAUAGCUCAGUGGUAGAGCACAUGCUUAGCAUGCAUAAAGUCCUGGGUUCACUCCCCAGUACUUCCA
rnacentral:tRNA from 1 species